UACGUAGGGUGCAAGCGUUUGUCCGGAAUUAUUGGGCGUAAAGAGCUCGUAGGCGGUUUGUCGCGUCGGCUGUGAAAACCUGGGGCUCAACCCCGGGCCUGCAGCCGAUACGGGCAAACUAGAAUUCGGUAGGGGAGACUGGAAUUCCUGGUGUAGCGGUGAAAUGCGCAGAUAUCAGGAGGAACACCGGUGGCGAAGGCGGGUCUCUGGGCCGAUAUUGACGCUGAGGAGCGAAAGCGUGGGGAGCGAACAGG
rnacentral:rRNA from 1 species